GAUAUUCUUUUUUGCUGCAUCUCUUCUUGACACGUGUUACUAUCUUUUGCAAAAUGGUGCAGGGAUCAGGAGAAGGUAGGCGCUCAUGGGAAUGGUUAGCUGAGUUUGUUGGGGUUGCACAACAGCUUCAUGGGUUGGGUUUUUUAGGUCGGGUGGAGUACUUCUUAAAAAAAAUGGAUGAAACAAUUGGGUUGAGUCUUCAGCAAUCUUUCAUUCUCGCACCAUGUUCAGUUGCCAACCGAAGGAGAAACAUCUCCUUGUAAGGAAACCCUAGGUUCCUCCACCGCAACCUCCGCUUUCGGGAUUCUCAUUGUCGCCGUUAGUUGCACGGGAGCUCCAACCACGUGCCUCCAUUGCGAGCGUCGUCACCGAAGUGGUGGAGUCUCGCGUUCUAUAACCCAUAAUCCUGUUCCGUCGCUCUUCUCCCGCUCUUCUCCCGCCCUCCCUCGUGGUCGCAUCAUUCAGGUUUGAGGAGAAUACUACACCGGAAAUGGAUCUUCUCAAUUUUUUUAACAAUUGAGAGAGUAAAGUGUAAUCUCUCACCAUUAAUUUUAUAAGUGGGAUCAAUAAUAAAUAUGAGAGAGAGAACAAUAAAGGGCUAGAGAUCACACUUUACACCUCAAUUUUUUUUAACAAUGGAGAGGAUCCAUUCCCAUACUACACCUCAUCGCAUACUAGUUCACAGUGACAAUUUAUUUUGUGAAAAAUUUAAAGUGAAACUCAUUUUACAGUGGCAUAAUUACGGUAUAAGGUAAAAAAUAGAUGUUAAUUAUUUUCACUUAAUACUCUAAUAGAACAUUGCCAUUCUUGCUUGUUUUGGUUCCUACUACAAUCUCAAUUAAGCCACUUCUUGUUCUUGUAAUUAGAACUAAAUAUUGUCGGUAAGACAUUGACAAUCUGCCAGUUCUGCCGACCUAUACCCUCGUAAGUAACCUUGAUCAUGUAAUUGGAGCUGGCGCUAAAGCUCCAGUAGGUCGGAAUGCGCCUUUUUCCUUCAAGUGUGAGACAGAAGGGGUGAUGACCUCGAAUCAGUCUCACCUUGAAGAAAGUUUUCUUGAUGACCUCGAGCCGGUACUAGGAGUUCGUAAUUCGCCUCCUCGGGACCACCUCCACACAAUGCUCCUGAGUCGCAGAGCUCUUGUAAGUCCUCCAUGAGUUCGUGGUUACCCUGGAGAACGUGCUCGUGAUGUCGGUACUGCACCACGUGUAAUGAUUUAUAGGUGAUUUGUAAAACCCGGUCAAACCGUAAUAAAUUAAAUAAUAAAUUAAAUAGGAGCGAAUAUUGUUAGAAAAUUUAGCAAUCGGAAUUUGAUAAUUUAAAAGUGAUAUUUGGAUUCAGUGAAUUUUUCAGAGUUGGAAAACAUAGUUUUCUGCGUAAAAACGCGCACUGAAAAUUUGACCGGAAGUACCGGCUAAGAUCUAUAUGCUACUGCAGCUGAGAAAAGUGAUUAUAAGUAAAUAAGGUUAAGAAAUUAGGAUUUAUAAUUAGGGAAGAUAGAAAUUUUUAAAAUGCGAUUUACAACGCUAAUCUUAAAGGUUUUGGCCCAAAGUUGGGCCAACGGACUAAAUCAAGUGAAUUGGGCCCAAGUGGAUCCAAGCCCAGCAUAUAUAAGCUUUAACUUAAAGCCAUUCAGCCACCACAACCCUCAUUUAGUGUGGUUGUUGCUGUAAUGAAAGGAGAGAGGUGAGAAGAGAGAAACUCUAACUCUCUUUGAUCUUCAAUUCAUCAUAACUUUCUCUACAGAACUCCGAUUGACGAGUCGUUUGCUGCCACGCGUCGCUCUUCUCUUCCUCUCCGAGUAUAUCUAAGUUUUGUGGUGAGUAUCUAAUUCUCCUCUGCCCAAUUUCGAUUUUUCUCUUAUAUUUCGAAUUUGGUUUGGGUUUUGAGGAAAUGUUGUGAUUUUGGUUGUUUAGGAGUGCUCUAGUAUGAGCCAUUGGUGAUAUUCAUCACAAAAUUUUGCGGGUUAAGGUAAGAAACCCUCAAACCCUUGUGAUUUAUCAUUUUCAUGAAACCUAGGUUGAUGUAUAUAUGUGAAAUUGGUUAUGUUAGUGUAUUUGGUGAUUUUGGUGCACAAUUAGGAGGUUGGUGUUGACUUACAAGAAGAAUCUCAAUUGUUUUGGCUACAAGAGGUACGGUUUAAGUUUCAUUUAAGUACCAUGUGGUGUGAUGAGAAUUCCUAGGCUAGAUGCUCCUAGGAUUAAGUUUGGAUUAUGUGAAUGGUUGGUAUUAAUAUGCAUAGUUGAUAUGUAAUGUAAAUUAAUGAUUGGGCUGAGAAUUGUGUGAAUUUUUAUGUAUAGUGUGUUGAGAAUUUGAUGAAUUGAAUGAUGAAUAUUGGUUUGUGGACUAUGUAUUUAAAAUUGUAAAUUUGGGCCGGAGGCCGUGAAUUUUGGGCCAGAGGCCGGAAAGAGGUAAGGAAGGUAAGUUGAUAUGUGUAUUAUGUGAUGAUAUAAGUGAUUGGAUGGAUUUAGAUAUUGAAUGUGUGAAUAAUUGGUUUGGUUAUUGAAUAAUAAGGUUUGAGGAAUUGAGGUGCGGAAUUUGAUAGUUUUUGGGUAAAAUUGUGUAGAGGAGGUAGGUUUGGUUUGGUUGAGUGUAAUUAUGUGAAUGUAGUUGGGUUGUGGUCAUUUGGAUGAGUGGAAAUGAAUUUGCCUUGUGAACAUUAGAAAAAUUGGUGAUUUCUAUUCUUGGAUAAAAACUAAUUUUUGACCAAAUUUAGCAGCCCGUAACUCGGACCACAAAGUUUGGAAUUCUUCAAAAUUGGAUUUUUAUGAAAGUUUAUUCAACGAUCUUUCCAACGGUUCAGAAAUGGUUGAAAAAGGAGUUUUGUAGAAGAAGUUAUGUGUGUUGAAAGUUUGGGGUUUGAAAAUGUAAUUCUACAGCUUUUUAACUUAGUAAAAAUUUUGGAAAAUUGUGCCUCCACACGCACGCAUGGCUGACAUGCACGCGUCAGUCUCGAUUCUUAAUCACCCACACGUGCGCCUGGCCGACGCGUACGCGUCGAUGCACGGAUGCGAAUGCUUCGUAGAAAAUCCAGAGAGUUGUGCGGGUACUGUGCUGGUUUUGUGCGAGACGCGUCAUUCUGCUUUUCUGACUCCCACACGUGCGUAUGGGCGACGCUCACGCGUCACUCUGCUUUUCAACCUUCCAUGCGUGCGCAUGGGCGACACGCAUGCGUGACCCUUUUUUCAGCAAAAGUUGAUUUUUGAGUCUUUAAAGCCAAAUUUUAGACUUCUAAGCCUCCAUUCUCAUCCUCUAAGUCUUAAAUCUUUAUAGUAUGCCUAGUAAUGAAAAGAAGUUAGGAUAUGUGAUAACUUAUGGACGAAGUAAAGUGAGAAUCAAUGAUGAAUGAUGAGUAUUGAUGAUUGUAUGAGCUACUGAGGGUGAUGAUGGAAGUGCGGUGUAUGCCGUGAGCCGAAGGGCUGUAUUUAAUAAUGAUUAUUGGCUGGUUAUGGGUUAUGUUGUGAGCCAGAUGGCUAUGAUGAAUAUUGAUUUAUGGCUGAAAAUGAAAAUAUAGUUUUGAAUGAUUGUUUUAUCUUGAGUUCCAUUUCUCGAAAGUGCGACCCUAGGGAAAUGAAGGAAGGUGAGGAUUCCCUUCCUUGUUCUUCCUGGUAUUGUAAAAUUGCCCCCAGCGAGAUGGUGGGAGGUUAGGAUCCCCUCCUUGAUUCCUCCUGGAAAUAUGAGAACGUACCUCCUAGGUAGAUGCAAGGGUUGUGGUUGCGUCCCACUUGCUCUAGGUUGGUUAGUAUAGAGGCUCCCCAGGUAGAUGCAAGGGUUAUGGUUCGUCCCACUUGCUCCAGGUCAGAGAUUGUGAUGCUUGGGUAGUAGCGAUAGUAAUGGUUACUCCACUCGCUCCAGGUUGAGCUUUUAAACACCUGCCUGGGUAGAUGCAGUGGCUUUGGUCCACUUGCUCCAGGAUGUGGUGAGAUAUACCUGCCCGGAUAGAUGCAGUGGCAUUGAUCCACUUGCUCCGGGUUUGGUUUGCAACUCCUUGGGUAGAUGUAGUGGUUAUCCUUCACUUGUUCCCAGUCGAGUAUGAUUUGAGAUUGAAACUAUCUGAGUCUCGGAUUUCCUUGGGUAGAUGCAGUGGGUCGACUCUACUUGCUCCAGGUUGAGAUCUAAGAUUCUGUUGACCUAUGUCGUAAGUGUGGCCGGACACUGUGAAAGUUCCAGAUGAGCUCGCCCCCGUGAAUAAACACCAGUGUGAGUAUUGUGUGACUAUGAUUAUGAUUGUGAAUAACUCGAGUUGGGGAUGCACGACAGAGGGACAGUCUAAUGGUUAGCUACCAAGACUUAUCGGGUUGGCUUUAUAACCGACAGAUGAGACUCAUCAGCCAUAGGGCAGGCAUACAUCAUUUGCAUAUGUUUGAAUUAUUUGGGUUUGCCUAUUUGUUUUGGAUUGCUAUAUCAUAUAUGCUAUGUUACCUGACUAUAUGCUACCUGUUCUUCUUGUACCUUAAUUGUGUAUUACUUGUCUGUAUUGUUUGUGUUUGUACAACUGAGAGGUCCCUCAUGCUGGUGUCGGUUGACGCUGAGGGCUGUUCUUAUUGAAAUGGAAUAAUGAUCUGAUCUAUUUAAAAUGACGAUUAUUGAAUGAGAUAAUUUGAGCUCCCUGGGUAGACGCAGUGAAGUGAUUUCACUUGCUCCAGGUGAGGAUAUGAAGUAUUGAUAUAGAAUUGUUGAGAUAAAAUAACUGGUGAUGGUUUGUCUUAUGAUCUUGAUUCUGAUUUGUUGGAGAGUUAGAAAGUUAGGAAACAUGAGAAAGAUGAAUCAGAUUUAGCAUUCCCUUAUAACAGUUGCCUAUUUAUGGAUUAGCGAGAAUAUAGGAUGAAUAUUUUGUGAAAGGAAGUCUAGGAUGCUUAGUGAGUUUUUAUUACAAUGCAUUGUAUCUAUUUGGCACUUUUACCGUACUGGGAACCCAUGGGUCAGGGGUUCUCAUUCUGUAUAUAUCUCUUGUUUUUCAGAUACAGGUCCAAGUGCUCAGAAGUGAGCGGUGGUUCAUCUGAGAGAUGGUGAAGAUCCUUAUUUUCUCUACUUUAUAUUUUGCUUAGAAUCUCUCCACCUUUAUUUUGAAAAGCUUAUAAUAUGUAUUGAACUCUUUUGAACUUGCCUAUAGAGGAUCUUAUGUUUCUUUGGGAGAGAUUAGGAGAUACUGUUGUCAACUACUGUUAUACUGUACCCUAGCCAGCCUAAACUUCGCGGGACGCGACUAGUGGC
rnacentral:lncRNA from 1 species